GGCCAGUUAGCUCAGUCAGUUGAGCAUGGUGCUGAUAACACCAAGGUCGCAGAUUUGAUUCCUGUUCGGUCCC
rnacentral:tRNA from 1 species